UACAGAGGGUGCAAGCGUUAAUCGGAAUUACUGGGCGUAAAGGGCGCGUAGGCGGUUGUUUAAGUCGGAUGUGAAAUCCCCGGGCUCAACCUGGGAAUGGCAUACGAUACUGAGUAACUAGAAUAGGGUAGAGGGAAGUGGAAUUUCCGGUGUAGCGGUGAAAUGCGUAGAGAUCGGAAGGAACACCAGUGGCGAAGGCGGCUUCCUGGACCUAUAUUGACGCUGAGGCGCGAAAGCGUGGGGAGCAAAC
rnacentral:rRNA from 1 species